CCUACGGGAGGCAGCAGUGGGGGAUAUUGCACAAUGGGGGAAACCCUGAUGCAGCGACGCCGCGUGAGUGAUGACGUAUUUCGGUAUGUAAAGCUCUAUCAGCAGGGAAGAAAAUGACAGUAUCUGACCAAGAAGCCCUGGCUAACUACGUGCAAGCAGCCGCGGUAAUACGGAGGGGGCAAGCGUUAUACGGAUUUACUGGGUGUAAAGGGAGCGUAGACGGUUUGGUAAGACUGGAGGGAAAGCCCGGAGCCCAACCUCGAGACUGCUUGUGAAACUGUGGAACUGGAGUACAGGAGGGGCAGGCGGAAUUCCUGGUGUAGCGGUGAAAUGCGUAGAUAUCAGGAGGAACACCGGCGGUGAAGGCGGCCUGCUGGACUGAAACUGACGUUGAGGCUCGAAAGCGUGGGGAGCAAACAGGAUUAGAUACCCCAGUAGUC
rnacentral:rRNA from 1 species